UGGGGAAUAUUGCACAAUGGGCGCAAGCCUGAUGCAGCCAUGCCGCGUGUGUGAAGAAGGCCUUCGGGUUGUAAAGCACUUUCAGCGGGGAGGAAGGCGAUAAGGUUAAUAACCUUGUCGAUUGACGUUACCCGCAGAAGAAGCACCGGCUAACUCCGUGCCAGCAGCCGCGGUAAUACGGAGGGUGCAAGCGUUAAUCGGAAUUACUGGGCGUAAAGCGCACGCAGGCGGUCUGUCAAGUCGGAUGUGAAAUCCCCGGGCUCAACCUGGGAACUGCAUUCGAAACUGGCAGGCUAGAGUCUUGUGGAGGGGGGUAGAAUUCCAGGUGUAGCGGUGAAAUGCGUAGAGAUCUGGAGGAAUACCGGUGGCGAAGGCGGCCCCCUGGACAAAGACUGACGCUCAGGUGCGAAAGCGUGGGGAGCAAACAGG
rnacentral:rRNA from 1 species